UACGUAGGGCGACAACGUUGUCCGGAAUUAUUGGGCGUAAAGAGCUCGUAGGCGGCUUGUCACGUCGGGUGUGAAAGCCCGGGGCUUAACCCCGGGUCUGCAUUCGAUACGGGCAGGCUAGAGUGUGGUAGGGGAGAUCGGAAUUCCUGGUGUAGCGGUGAAAUGCGCAGAUAUCAGGAAGAACACCCGUGGCGAAGGCGGCUCUCUGGGACGGUACUGACGCUGAGACGCGAAAGCGUGGGGAGCGAACAGG
rnacentral:rRNA from 1 species